rnacentral:rRNA from 1 species
GUGCCAGCAGCCGCGGUAAUACGUAGGGGGCUAGCGUUGUCCGGAAUCAUUGGGCGUAAAGCGCGUGUAGGCGGCCCGAUAAGUCCGCUGUGAAAGUCCAGGGCUCAACCCUGGGAUGCCGGUGGAUACUGUCGGGCUCGAGUCCGGAAGAGGCGAGUGGAAUUCCUGGUGUAGCGGUGAAAUGCGCAGAUAUCAGGAGGAACACCAAUGGCGAAGGCAGCUCGCUGGGACGUGACUGACGCUGAGACGCGAAAGCGUGGGGAGCAAACAGGAUUAGAUACCCGCGUAGUCC